rnacentral:misc_RNA from 1 species
GAUGAAGAACGUAGUGAAAUGCGAUACUUGGUGUGAAUUGCAGAAUCCCGUGAACCAUCGAGUCUUUGAACGCAAGUUGCGCCCGAAGCCAUUAGGCCGAGGGCACGCCUGCCUGGGCGUCACACGUCGUUGCCCCCCCAUCUAAUCCUUCGGGAUUGCGGGGGGCGGAUGAUGGCCUCCCGUGCGCCUCGUCGCGCGGUUGGCAUAAAUGCCAAGUCCUCGGCGACGCACGCCACGACAAUCGGUGGUUGCGAAACCUCGGUUGCCCGUCGUGUGCGGUCGUCGCGCAUCGAGGGCUCGAAAAAAUUGCCGGGCUCCGGCUCGACUUUCAACGCGACCCCAGGUCAGGCGGGGUUACCCGCUGAAUUUAAGCAUAUCAAUAAGCGGAGGA